rnacentral:rRNA from 1 species
AUUGAACGCUGGCGGCAGGCCUCACACAUGCAAGUCGAACGAGUGGCGGACGGGUGAGUAAUGUCUGGGAAACUGCCCGAUGGAGGGGGAUAACUACUGGAAACGGUAGCUAAUACCGCAUACCAUCGGAUGUGCCCAGAUGGGAUUAGCUUGUAGGUGAGGUAACGGCUCCCCUAGGCGACGAUCCCUAGCUGGGCUGAGAGGCUGACCAGCGACACUGGAACUGAGACACGGUCCAGACGCCUACGGGAGGCAUCAGUGGGGAAGAUUGAACAAUGGGCGCAAGCCUGAUGCAGCCAUGCCGCGUGUAUGAAGAAGGCCUUCGGGUUGUAAAGUACUUGCAGCGGGGAGGCGUUACCCGGAGAAGAAGCACCGGCUAACUCCGUGCCAGCAGCCGCGGUAAUUC